rnacentral:rRNA from 1 species
UACGUAGGGGGCAAGCGUUGUCCGGAUUUAUUGGGCGUAAAGAGCGUGUAGGCGGCCGUACAGGUCAGCUGUGAAAACUCGAGGCUCAACCUCGAGACGUCGGUUGAAACCGUACGGCUAGAGUCCGGAAGAGGAGAGUGGAAUUCCCGGUGUAGCGGUGAAAUGCGCAGAUAUCAGGAGGAACACCGAUGGCGAAGGCAGGUCUCUGGGCCACUACUGACGCUGAGAAGCGAAAGCAUGGGGAGCGAACAGG